GUGCUCGCUUCGGCAGCACAUACCUAAAACUGGAACGAUACAGAGAAGAUGAGCACGGCCCCUGCGCAAGGACGAUACGCAAAUUCAGGAAGCGUUCCAUGUUAAA
ensembl:snRNA U6 U6 spliceosomal RNA